rnacentral:rRNA from 1 species
UAAAAAGCUCGUAUUGAACUUCAGACCUGGCUGGGCGGUCUGCCUAACGGUAUGUACUGUCCGGCUGGGUCUUACCUCUUGGUGAGCCGGCAUGCCCUUCACUGGGUGUGUCGGGGAACCAGGACUUUUACCUUGAGAAAAUUAGAGUGUUCAAAGCAGGCUUAUGCCCGAAUACAUUAGCAUGGAAUAAUAAAAUAGGACGUGCGGUUCUAUUUUGUUGGUUUCUAGAGUCGCCGNUAAUGAUUAAUAGGGAUAGUUGGGGGCAUUAGUAUUCCGUUGCUAGAAGGUGAAAUUCUUGGAUUUACGGAAGAACUUAACUAUUGCGAAAGCAUUUGCCAAGGAUGUUUUCAUUAAUCAAGAACGAAGGUUAGGGGAUCGAAAACGAUCAGAUACCCCCGGGCCUUUUUUGGGGGCACUUUUUAAAAGGUUCUUUUAAGCAGUAAACUAUGCCGACUAGGGAUCGGGCGAACUCAAUUUGAUGUGUCGCUCGGCACCUUA